rnacentral:lncRNA from 8 species
AUGGCUCCUAGGAAACAUCUUCUACUCAACUGUAAAACAUACAUCCACAGUUCUGUUACUCACCGUGGCCUCCUCUCUUUCAGGGCGAGGCCCUCACUAACCAGCAAGUCUGCGAUGCUGGCGUCUUUCCCAGCCUGGUUGGGGCAGUACAGAGACUGUCACCGGACCCUGCUCUGUGUUCUCCUAGAGAGGAGAGGAAAAGAUGAUCAUUCUGUCCACCUGCGUUCCUUCCACCCCUCCUUCUGGAAGAGUGGACUCAACCUGCAGGACACCACAUCAUAUCUUACAACUACACUACACAUUUACACUGCAGCCAAGUAUCCUGCUGGGCACAGAAUGACAUUGUUGAACUCCAGCGAGCGCAGACAGGUAGAGCACAGAAGAUGUGGGAACACAGGAGGACCUUGA